UACGUAGGGUGCAAGCGUUAAUCGGAAUUACUGGGCGUAAAGCGUGCGCAGGCGGUUUUGUAAGUCUGACGUGAGAUCCCCGGGCUCAACCUGGGAAUUGCGUUGGAGACUGCAAGGCUAGAAUCUGGCAGAGGGGGGUAGAAUUCCACGUGUAGCAGUGAAAUGCGUAGAGAUGUGGAGGAACACCGAUGGCGAAGGCAGCCCCCUGGGUCAAGAUUGACGCUCAUGCACGAAAGCGUGGGGAGCAAACAGG
rnacentral:rRNA from 1 species